GGGGAUGUAAAGGCUUCGACACAUUAUGUUACGGUACGAGCUGCGGGCCGAGAACGCCGAUGUUCUCGUAAAACUAUCGGCAAAAAUGUAAAUGCAAACAAGAAAAAUCUGUUUGCUGUUCCUUCGUUGAAAGCUACCCCCGCCCGCGUGGCGGUGGCUGCAUAAGCGAUUGAACGCCCCGGUUUUCUUCGGGCCACGGAAGAGGAUCGGGUAGGUUAGUGGAUGCCUGACUGGCCCAUACUGAUAAGCCAGUCAGAAAGAUUAUCAGUUAGUUGCAUCACCAUCCUGUCUGUGGGAGGGGGGCGCGAUGAAACAAACAAUAUACAGACUACGUUCCGUAGAUGUUCGUACAGUGGGUUUUGUGGACGCGAGUUCGAUUCUCGCCAUCUCCACCU
rnacentral:tmRNA from 1 species